GCACAAUGGGCGCAAGCCUGAUGCAGCGAUGCCGCGUGAGGGAUGGAGGCCUUCGGGUUGUAAACCUUUUUCGCCAGUGAAGCAGGCCUGCUCCUUGUGGGUGGGUUGACGGUAGCUGGAUAAGAAGCGCCGGCUAACUACGUGCCAGCAGCCGCGGUAAUACGUAGGCGCGAGCGUUGUCCGGAAUUAUUGGGCGUAAAGAGCUCGUAGGCGGCUGGUCGCGUCUGUCGUGAAAUCCUCUGGCUUAACUGGGGGCUUGCGGUGGGUACGGGCCGGCUUGAGUGCGGUAGGGGAGACUGGAACUCCUGGUGUAGCGGUGGAAUGCGCAUGAUAUCAGGAAGAACACCGGUGGCGAAGGCGGGUCUCUGGGCCGUUACUGACGCUGAGGAGCGAAAGCGUGGGGAGCGAACAUGGAUAAGAUACCCUGGUAGUCCACGCCGUAAACGUUGGGCACUAGGUGU
rnacentral:rRNA from 1 species